CAACUCGCCUACAUGAAGUCGGAAUCGCUAGUAAUCGCGGAUCAGCAUGCCGCGGUGAAUACGUUCCCGGGCCUUGUACACACCGCUCGUCACACCAUGAGAGUUGGGAAUACCCGAAGCCUGUGAGCUAACUUUUAGAGGCAGCAGUCGAAGGUAGAAUCAAUGAUUGGGGUGAAGUCGUAACAAGGUAGC
rnacentral:rRNA from 1 species